rnacentral:rRNA from 1 species
AGAACGAACGCUGGCGGCGUGCUUAACACAUGCAAGUCGAGUGCGCGCCUGUAGCAAUACAGGUGGCGCACGGCGCACGGGUGCGUAACACGUGGGUAAUCUGCCCUUCGAAGGGGAAUAACUCGCCGAAAGGCGAGCUAAUUCCGCAUAACAUUCCGAGAACAUCCGUUUUCGGAUUCAAAGGCGUAAGUCGUCGGAGGAGGAGCCCGCGCACGAUUAGCUAGUUGGUGAGGUAAUGGCUCACCAAGGCUAUGAUCGUUAGCUGGU